rnacentral:rRNA from 1 species
AGUGAAGAAAUGAAGGGCGCACGGUGGAUGCCUUGGUACCAGGAGCCGAUGAAGGACGGGACAAACACCGAAAUGCUUC